AUUGAACGCUGGCGGCGUGCCUAAUACAUGCAAGUCGAACGCAGUGGGGACGGGUGAGUAACACGUGGGUAACCUCCCAUCAGAGGGGAUAACACUUGGAAACAGGUGCUAAACCGAUAUUGAUGGAUGGACCCGCGGUGCAUUAGCUAGUUGGUGAGGUAACGGCUCACCAAGGCCACGAUGCAUAGCGGGCCUGAGAGGGUGCACUGCCAGCCGGGAACUGAGACACGGUCCAGACUCCUACGGGAGGCAGCAGUGGGGAUUAUUGCACAAUGGGCGCAAGCCUGAUGCAUCCAUGCCGCGUGUAUGAAGAAGGCCUUCGGGUUGUAAAGUACUUUCAGCGGGGAGGCGUUACCCGCAGAAGAAGCACCGGCUAACUCCGUGCCAGCAGCCGCGGUAAUAC
rnacentral:rRNA from 1 species